rnacentral:lncRNA from 1 species
ACAUAGGAGAACAAAACAACAGCCAGUAUAUGUAAAGCAGUAUUUGGAGCCAAAUUCUCUGACCUUUUAAAUAAAGAAGUGGAUGAAAUAUGGUAUUAUACACUGCAUUGGUGGGAAAACAGCUUGCAAUUUUUCUCUGGAAAAUUAAAUAAGCAAAAGAGAAGAUUGGCGAUAGGAAGGAAUGAUUGCAGAAAAGGGGGUUGAAAGAAGGCAAGAGUUGGAAAAUAUCAAGAAGAGCUGCAAAAGAAGAGCUGCAAAAUACUGUCUUCUAAAUAUGACAAGGCCAUUACAUGUCUGAAUUCACAACAGCUUGGUUACCUGCAGAGGACCUUCACAUGAUCAAGCAAAUAAAAGCAUUCCAGCAUGGACACAGGAAGGACAACUGAGGUCUAACUCCAGCUAAAGAGAUAAUGGCACUUCUGGUGGCUGAGAGUCAGACAUUUUCCUUUGGUAUUGUGGCUUUAGUAGGUUGCCCAUACUGUACUGGAUGGCUCCAUGCUAUGCGUGCACAUGGGAAAUACUAUUUGGACACAACUGGAUUGUUUUUAAAGCAAAAGACGUGAAAUUGCAAGCAUCAGGGCAGUUUGAGGGUGAAAGCAGGAAGUGUAUAUGAUAAUAAUUCAUUGAAUACAUAUAUAAAAUUCUU